AGACCGAGAGAUUUAGCCUUCCAUUACAAACGUCAGCCUCUCCCUUGUUUUUUUUUUCUUUUUCUUUUCGGAAACAGGGCAUCCCCUGUUUCUUCUCUAUUUUUUUUCUGGAAUGGCCGAGAGCCUCUAUUUUUUCGAAUGAGACCACCCCCCAUAGCCGAGAGCUAUAUGCCCCUUAUACUCAACUCUUCCCCCCCCCCUCCUGUUUAUUCUUGGAAAGCCAAUCUAAAUUCAGAAUUAUCCUCCUAACAAAUCAAACAAAAUUCUCAAUCAAAUUUGCUGUGAUUCUGAUGGGAUUUUGUUGGAAGGAGGAACGCUAGAAUGAAGCACAUCACAGCUAGCUGCAAGAUAUGGAAAGCUCGGACAUAAGGUUGGAGAUGGGCGGCUGGAUGCUGGAUCUCGAACUCGGACGGACGCGUGGGAGGUGCUGGAAAGAUGGGCUGCCAAUCCGCUGCUGUGAACGUGGGAUGCUGAUGAAGGAAGACUGAAUGCGGGAGAUGCUUCGCGGGAUAGGCGGAUGGAUCGGAAGGAAUGGAUGCUGACCUCGGUUGGGAGGAAGGCUGAUCGCAAACUCCGGAAGCAUCGUGGACGGCUGAGGAAGUCUGAGACGCGGAUCUGGAAGCAAGGGAUGCGGGUUCCUCAAAUCUGGGAGGUGGCUGGGACUCGGAAGGAAGCUGAGACACUUGUGGAAGGAGGAAUGUGCUGUUAAGGCGGAAGAUUGCACGCGGACAGCUGAAAUUCGGGAAGUGAAUCACGGACGCGGGCGCUUGGGAUCAAUCUGGAAUGUUGGAAUUGCGGACUCAGAAGCUUUGAAACGGGGAAAGAGGCAGACGCGGGAUGCUGGGAGAUUGCACGCCGGCUCGGACGGACGCAUGGAAUGCAAGGGAAAAUGCGUAAGAAAGCUGGGACGCUAGAACACGGACCCCUCCCUUGUUUUUGCAUAGCUUACGG
rnacentral:lncRNA from 1 species